AUGAGCCCAACCGCGAUGCUCAACUGUCGCGCCGUCCUCGAUUUGGUUGGAGCAGCCGCCACGCCGUCCUCGAUCUGGAUGGAGCCGCCGCCGCGCAGACCUCGAUCUGGAUCGAGCCCCCGCUGCACCGACCUCGAUCUGGAUCGAGCUGCCGCCGCUCUCUCUCCUCUUCUCCGCCCCACGAUGGCGGCAAACUACGACAGGGGGAGGCUAACGGCGACAAACACGCGCGCGGAGGGUGGGGAACGGAGUGGCGCACGUACGACAUGUCGGCGAGGCUGGGCGCUAACAAGCUUUGCUCCGGCAACGGUGCUACCAGGCACGCGUCGUUGCCGACCGCGAGGUGGUCACCGGAGUAAAGCAGUUUGUCCCCGUCACGUCCUACAAAGUGCAGGUGCAGCUCGAGUACUUCAGGAGUAA
rnacentral:rRNA from 1 species